rnacentral:rRNA from 1 species
UACGUAGGAGGCGAGCGUUGUCCGGAAUUACUGGGCGUAAAGCGCGUGUAGGCGGUCUGAAUAGUCUGCUGUGAAAGCGCCUGGCUUAACCGGGCGAGGUCGGCGGAAACUCUCAGACUGGAGGCCGGUAGAGGGGGGUGGAAUUCCCGGUGUAGUGGUGAAAUGCGUAGAGAUCGGGAGGAACACCUGUGGCGAAGGCGACCGCCUGGCCCAACACUGACGCUGAGGUGCGAAAGCGUGGGUAGCAAACAGG